rnacentral:lncRNA from 1 species
CUACUUAUAAAAGCGUGAGUUUUAAAUUUUUUCCUUUUUCCAAAAAUGUCUCUACUCUUUUUAUUAAUAUUUUUAUUUCCAGUAAUUUUCAACCAAUCAUUUCAAAUAAUUCACUAAAUAAUAAUUUAUUCUUAAAUAAAGAUAUUAAUUUUUUUGUCAUUAGAUCUUAUCUAACGAUUGAAAAUAAAAAUAUCUGUCACCUUUUGUGAUAAUAAUAUCCACCAUAUCCGUUAUCUCCUAUCUACGCGUUUCUCAAAUAUUUUCUUCCUAUCCGCCAAUCAUGUAAUACGUAAAAUUAAAUUUAUAAUGUAAUACCUGUCAAUCAUAUAAUACGUAAAAUUAAAUUUAUUUCAUAUUUAACGUAAUAUCCGCCAAUCACGUAAUAUGUACAAUUAAAUUUAUCUAAUAUCCACGCGUUUUCUCAAAUAUUUUCUUUCUCAAACGUAAUGCUUGCUAAUACUCAAAAUUAAAUUUUCAAUUUGUAAUGUCCGCCAAAAUUUAAUAUCCGCAAAUUUGAUAAUUUAAAUUUUAAUUCAUGAUAGUAGAUUUUCUUACGUGAGAUGAUAGAUUCAAUUUUAACGAGUAUUAAAAUUUGGCGAACCAUAAAAGUGUUACAUAUUGCUAAAAAAAUUUUAAUACCCCUCCAAUCAAAACUAAAUCAUUAAUUAAAUAUAAUUUUAAAUAUUUUUACUAAAAUAUUUAAUAUUUAAAUAAUGUGCCAUAAAAGCGUACAAUAUUUAUAAAAAAAAUUUAAUACCCGCCCAAUCAAAACUAAAUCAUUAAUUAAAUAUAAUUUUAAAUUUUUGUAGCAAAAUAUUGAAUAUUUAAGUAAGACCUGCUAAAAUAUUCUACGCGUUUCUCAAAUAUAGAUCAUAUCUUAAUACCUCAUAUAUAAUAUUUAUAAUAUAUAAUCUUAUCUCAUAAUAAUACUUAUCACAUAAUACCUGUAAAAAUAUUUUAGCAUUUUUUAAAUAUUGAGCAUAUCUUAAUACCUUCACGUAUAAUAUCUACAAUAUUCAAUCUUAUCUCAUCAUAAUACUUAUCACACAAUAUGUAGAGCAUAUCCUUUUCUUGUAGUGUUUCUGAGCUUUGGAUAGGAUUGGCUUCAGUGUUAGUGACUGGUCGACACAUCUAGAGAAUGUCGGACUGAGUCGGAGUCAUUUCUGCGCGAAAUGG